AACGAACGCUGGCGGCAUGCCUAACACAUGCAAGUCGAACGAGACCUUCGGGUCUAGUGGCGCACGGGUGCGUAACGCGUGGGAACCUGCCCUUAGGUUCGGAAUAACUCCCCGAAAGGGGUGCUAAUACCGGAUAAUGUCUUCGGACCAAAGAUUUAUCGCCUUUGGAUGGGCCCGCGUUGGAUUAGCUAGUUGGUAGGGUAAAAGCCUACCAAGGCGACGAUCCAUAGCUGGUCUGAGAGGAUGAUCAGCCACACUGGGACUGAGACACGGCCCAGACGCCGACGGGACGCAGCAGGGGGGAAUAGAGGAAAAUGGGCGAAAGCCUGAACAAGUAAUGCCGCGGGAGUGAUGAAGGCAUUAGGGUGGUAAAACGCUGGGACCCGGGAGGAGAAUGACGGGACCGGGAGAAGAAGAUCCGGCUAACUCCGUG
rnacentral:rRNA from 1 species